AUGAUGAACCGCCGGCUUGUGCAUCUGGUAGCCCGCGCCACCAUCGGCGGCCGCCAAGCCUACACGCUGCACCCCAUCGAUCCGUCGACCUUCUUCCAUGACCGAACGAAACCAAGCGGCGCCGACGAUGGAACGGCGACGAUGGAGGAAUUCCAGCCGCCCCCACCGGCCACGACCUUCCUCGGACCCGACACGGAACCCCAAGACAUGGAUUUCAUGCCCGUCGGCCGCGGCGGCGAGAAAGGCGUCCUCGCCGUGGACUGCGAGGGUUGUGCCGCCCUCUACUCCGCCUCAUCGCAGACCCUGAGCACCAUCCCCACGCUGCGCGCUCCAAAGGUCCAGCCCAUCUUUUUCCCCGUCGGUGACAGCCGCCUGUACGUCAUGGACCGGAAACCUCGGCGAGACCCCCGCCGCUGCUUCGUGGCCCUCAUCCGUGGGCGCGAAUCCGGCCUCCGCUGUCGGAUGGCAUGGCACUGGCGAUCUCUCCAGCCGCCCCCCUACCUGCCCCCGACCCGCUGGGACGACGACGACGACGACGACGACUCUGACUUGAACGAUGACAGGCAAGCCAUGGUAGACGACGGGUCCAAGUCCAGUAUGGUGGUGGAGGGCGAGCUGGGCGACAUAGCGGGGCACACGGUCGUGGGCGACUCGAAGAUCUGGAUAUCCACGGCCGGCGCCGGCACCUACACCUUCGACACGGGCAGGCCCGUCGAUGGAGGGGCCAAGGUGGGCGACCGCCGAGGGCCCCCCAAAAUUUGGGGCCCCCAAAUUACUGGGUAUUAG
rnacentral:rRNA from 1 species